rnacentral:sRNA from 1 species
CUUGUUGUGGGCAAAUAAAAUGGAUAUGUGCGUCAAUCCCGCCUGCAGUUACAAUUUGACCUUCCGCGGCAAUUAUUUCAGUUCCUGCGCCAAUAGCAAUGUCUAUAUUAGGUUGUAUGUCCGGGUUACCGGACUUUCCUAUGCCCACAAUACGACCAUUCUUGAUACCAAUGUCCGCUUUAAUAACGCCCCAAUGGUCAAGAAUAAGGGCGUUAGUAAUAACAACAUCAGCAACAUCUUUGCUGCAAAGUUGACUUUGCCCCAUGCCGUCACG